UACGUAGGGGGCAAGCGUUGUCCGGAAUCAUUGGGCGUAAAGAGCGUGUAGGCGGCCUGGUAAGUCCGCUGUGAAAGUCCAGGGCUCAACCCUGGAAUGCCGGUGGAAACUGUCAGGCUCGAGUCCGGAAGAGGAGUGUGGAAUUCCUGGUGUAGCGGUGAAAUGCGCAGAUAUCAGGAGGAACACCAAUGGCGAAGGCAGCACUCUGGGACGGUACUGACGCUGAGACGCGAAAGCGUGGGGAGCAAACAGG
rnacentral:rRNA from 1 species